UACGUAGGGGGCAAGCGUUGUCCGGAAUCAUUGGGCGUAAAGCGCGUGUAGGCGGCUUCGUCAGUCCGUUGUGAAAGUCCAGGGCUCAACCCUGGAAUGCCGAUGGAUACUGCGGAGCUAGAGUCCGGAAGAGGCGAGUGGAAUUCCUGGUGUAGCGGUGAAAUGCGUAGAUAUCGGGAGGAACACCAGUGGCGAAGGCGACUACCUGGCCUGUUCUUGACGCUGAGGCGCGAAAGCUAGGGGAGCAAACGGGG
rnacentral:rRNA from 1 species